UCAGAUAUUGUUGUUUACAUCACAUGGUAUCUGGUGUCAGAUAUGGUUGUUUACAUCACAUGGUAUCUAGUAUCUGGUGUCAGAUAUUGUUGUUUACAUCACAUGGUAUCUAGUAUCUGGUGUCCGAUGUUGUUGUUUACAUCACAUGGUAUCUAGUAUCUGGUGUGAAAUCAGAUAUUGUUGUUUACAUCACAUGGUAUCUAGUAUCUGGUGUCAGAUAUUGUUGUUUACAUCACAUGGUAUCUGGGGUCAGAUAGUGUUGUUUACAUCACAUGGUAUCUGGUGUCAGAUAUUGUUGUUUACAUCACAUGGUAUCUGGUGUCAGAUAUGAUUCCCACAUUGACUGCAUCCCAAAUGGCCCCAUUGGGGACCCAGCCAUUAUCUGGUGUGUAGAAGGAUUGUCAGAGAUAAUGGUUAACUGGAUAGAACAGGAAAUGGCUGGUAGGAGGGACUGGGGAUGGUAUAUUGUCCCUCACUCUGUAGCUUAGGCUCACUAUGGAAGACUGUCUCUCUCUCUAUCUCUCUCUCUCUCUCUUUCUCUGUCUCUCUUUCUCUCUCUCGGUCUCUCUUUCUCUCUCUGUCUCUCUUUCUCUCUCUCCCUCCUCUCUCUCUCUCUCUCUCUCUCUCUCUCUCUGUCUCUCUCUCUCUCUCUCUCUCUCUCUCUUCCUCUGUCUGUGUCUCUCUCUUUCUCUGUGUCUCUCUCUCUUUCGCUCUCUCUCUCUCUCUCUCUCUCUCUCUCUCUCUCUCUCUCUCUGUGUCUCUCUCUCUCUGUCUCUCUCUCUCUUUCUCUCUCUCUGUCUCUCUUUCUCUCUCUGUCUCUGUCUCUGUCUUUGUCUCUGUCUCUCUCUCUGCCUCUGUCUCUCUCUGUCUCUCUCUCUGUCUUCAUAGUCUCCCUGUCUCGCUCUCUGUUGUUAUAGUCUGUCUGUCUCUCCUGCCAUCUCACUCUUUCUCCAUCUCUCUCAGUUCACCACAUUACAGCCCAAGUGAAAUGCUUGACAGGCACUGUCUGUCUGUCUGUCUGUCUGCCGGUGACCAGAUAAAUCUUCUCUUGGUGUAGUUCAAGGUCUCCACAGUGUCCCUUGGCGUGUCACAGGAGGAGCAUGGAGUCGUGUCAGGGCCAAGCUGAUAGGUGGAAUGGCUGACGUCAGGUUGUCUCGUUGUUGUUGUUGUUGUCGUUGAUCCUAUCUAUGGUCCAAUGUGGACAUGGUGUCAACAUGAGGUCGCGCUAUUGUGUCAACUAACAAAAACAAGUGGACUGAAUGAAGGAAGAGUCCAACUGUCAGAGCUGAGUGAGUGGUUAGUUACCUUUCACAUGGGAUACUCCUCUACCAGGAUGGAUAUCAGGGGGCCAUUUGGGAUCUAAUCACAUUCUGUCAGCUGUCGGAAUAACUAGAGCCCAUAUCCCAGUAUUCCUGUUAUUGUUCCUGUUAUUAUUCCUGCUUUUAAGACCCUUCUUGUUCCCAGAUGGGAAACCAGGCUAUCCAGUCCAAUCAUUUAUCCAUCUGAUCACCCUCAACUUCCUCAGGCCAGAUAAGUCCAACUUCCUCAGGCCAGAUAAGUCCAACUUCCACAGGCCAGAUAAGUCCAAUUCAACUUCCUCAGGCCAGAUAAGUCCAACUUCCUCAUGCCAGAUAAGUCCAACUUCCUCAGUCCAGAUAAGUCCAACUUCCUCAGUCCCGAUAAGUCCAACUCAACUUCCUCAGUCCAGAUAAGUCCAACUCCUAUCCUUCAGUCCAGAUAAGUCCAACUCAACUGCACCAAAUGAAAGUGAUGGGCAAGGCUACUGCAUGUAGGAUACUGAUGGAGACGUGUUUCUCUCCUUUACCCAAGACCCUUUCUGUUUUAUACCUCUCUCUGUCUGUCCUCAAGAUAACAAACAAAACCAAGGUUAGUCUUGUUUAUGUCUCCUCUCCUCCAUGUCUCAGUGUCUUACUGCAGGUCUAUAAUAUGUCUCCUCCAUGUCUCUGUGUCUUACUGCAGGUCUAUAAUAUGUCUCCUCUCCUCCAUGUCUCUGUGUCUUACUGCAGGUCUAUAAUAUGUCUCCUCUCCUCCAUGUCUCUGUGUCUUACUGCAGGUCUAUAAUAUGUCUCCUCCAUGUCUCUGUGUCUUACUGCAGGUCUAUAAUAUGUCUCCUCCAUGUCUCAGUGUCUUACUGCAGGUCUAUAAUAUGUCUCCUCCAUGUCUCUGUGUCUUACUGCAGGUCUAUAAUAUGUCUCCUCCAUGUCUCAGUGUCUUACUGCAGGUCUAUAAUAUGUCUCCUCCAUGUCUCUGUGUCUUACUGCAGGUCUAUAAUAUGUCUCCUCUCCUCCAUGUCUCUGUGUCUUACUGCAGGUCUAUAAUAUGUCUCCUCUCCUCCAUGUCUCUGUGUCUUACUGCAGGUCUAUAAUAUGUCUCCUCCAUGUCUCUGUGUCUUACUGCAGGUCUAUAAUAUGUCUCCUCUCCUCCAUGUCUCUGUGUCUUACUGCAGGUCUAUAAUAUGUCUCCUCUCCUCCAUGUCUCUGUGUCUUACUGCAGGUCUAUAAUAUGUCUCCUCUCCUCCAUGUCUCAGUGUCUUACUGCAGGUCUAUAAUAUGUCUCCUCUCCUCCAUGUCUCAGUGUCUUACUGCAGGUCUAUAAUAUGUCUCCUCUCCUCCAUGUCUCCGUGUCUUACUGCAGGUCUAUAAUAUCUCUCCUCCAUGUCUCUGUGUCUUACUGCAGGUCUAUAAUAUGUCUCCUCUCCUCCAUGUCUCUGUGUCUUACUGCAGGUCUAUAAUAUGUCUCCUCUCCUCCAUGUCUCUGUGUCUUACUGCAGGUCUAUAAUAUAUCUCCUCCAUGUCUCAGUGUCUUACUGCAGGUCUAUAAUAUGUCUCCUCCAUGUCUCUGUGUCUUACUGCAGGUCUAUAAUAUGUCUCCUCCAUGUCUCAGUGUCUUACUGCAGGUCUAUAAUAUGUCUCCUCCAGGUCUCAGUGUCUUACGGCAGAUCUAUAAUAUGUCUCCUCCAUGUCUCUGUGUCUUACUGCAGGUCUAUAAUAUGUCUCCUCUCCUCCAUGUCUCUGUGUCUUACUGCAGGUCUAUAAUAUGUCUCCUCCACGUCUCAGUGUCUUACUGCAGGUCUAUAAUAUGUCUCCUCUCCUCCAUGUCUCUGUGUCUUACUGCAGGUCUAUAAUAUGUCUCCUCUCCUCCAUGUCUCUGUGUCUUACUGCAGGUCUAUAAUAUGUCUCCUCCAUGUCUCAGUGUCUUACUGCAGGUCUAUAAUAUGUCUCCUCCAUGUGUCUGUGUCUUACUGCAGGUCUAUAAUAUGUCUCCUCUCCUCCAUGUCUCUGUGUCUUACUACAGGUCUAUAAUAUGUCUCCUCCAUGUCUCUGUGUCUUACUGCAGGUCUAUAAUAUGUCUCCUCUCCUCCAUGUCUCUGUGUCUUACUGCAGGUCUAUAAUAUGUUUCCUCCAUGUCUCUGUGUCUUACUGCAGGUCUAUAAUAUGUCUCCUCUCCUCCAUGUCUCAGUGUCUUACUGCAGGUCUAUAAUAUCUCUCCUCUCCUCCAUGUCUCAGUGUCUUACUGCAGGUCUAUAAUAUGUCUCCUCCAUGUCUCUGUGUCUUACUGCAGGUCUAUAAUAUGUCUCCUCUCCUCCAUGUCUCUGUGUCUUACUGCAGGUCUAUAAUAUGUCUCCUCCAUGUCUCUGUGUCUUACUGCAGGUCUAUAAUAUGUCUCCUCUCCUCCAUGUCUCUGUGUCUUACUGCAGGUAUAUAAUAUGUCUCCUCUCCUCCAUGUCUCUGUGUCUUACUGCAGGUCUAUAAUAUGUCUCCUCUCCUCCAGUUCUCAGUGUCUUACUGCAGGUCUAUAAUAUGUCUCCUCCAUGUCUCAGUGUCUUACUGCAGGUCUAUAAUAUGUCUCCUCUCCUCCAUGUCUCAGUGACUUACUGCAGGUCUAUAAUAUGUCUCCUCUCCUCCAUGUCUCAGUGUCUUACUGCAGGUCUAUAAUAUGUCUCCUCUCCUCCAUGUCUCUGUGUCUUACUGCAGGUCUAUAAUAUGUCUCCUCCAUGUCUCCGUGUCUUACUGCAGGUCUAUAAUAUGUCUCCUCCAUGUCUCAGUGUCUUACUGCAGAUAAACCAACCGUAGUUGGAUCACAUGAUGGAUCACAUGACACACAGCUCUUAAAGAGACAGCGUCCCGCUCAGACACCGACCUUUGCCCCCUGCUGUAUUGGGGAGCCUGUUGUGGAAAGAUACAGCUCAGUGUCUCCCGGGUCAACUCUGUGCCCAGAUCAGUCCUUAUCUCCUCCAUGGACCAUGUCUGAGUCUAGCUGUUACGAACGGCUGCUCUCCCCACCACCUCCCGGACUCUGACCUCCCAUGUUUCUGGGUGAGAUGAUGCUCUCCCCACCACCUCCCGGACUCUGACCUCCCAUGUUUCUGGGUGAGAUGAUGCUCUCCCCACCACCUCCCGGACUCUGACCUCCCAUGUUUCUGGGUGAGAUGAUGCUCUCCCCACCACCUCCCGGACUCUGACCUCCCAUGUUUCUGGGUGAGAUGAUGCUCUCCUUGGACUGGAGCAGCCUCUCCAGGCAGGGCGAGCUGAUCUUCCCCGACGGAGGCCCUCGUCGGUGGGCUCGGGGUCUGACUCUGUAAGGGUGGGUCUGGAGGUGGGGGUCCACAGUGCUCCCCUGGGGGUCAGUGCUGGAGGAGACCGCGUCGUCUUGGGUUUGUUCCUGGUCGUCGGCUGGACGGUUGGAUCCCAGGGAGCAGGCGAUGGAGGGCCUGCCCAGGCCCGGUGGCUCUUGCUGGGCUGUCUCUGUCUCUGUGUUGGAGGAGCAGAUGGGGGCGGUGUGGAGACGUUUGAGAUGAGUGGCAGAGGAGUAGGGGAAGGAGCCGGGCAGGGGUCCGUCGGAGGCUCGCAGGGCUAGGUGGUGGUCACCCUCUGGGGGGGAGACGACGGGAGGAGAGGCUGGAGGUGGUGGCUGGGCUGGGGCCUGGUACUGCUGUGGAGAGUCAGAAC
ensembl:lncRNA